rnacentral:rRNA from 1 species
UACGAAGGGUGCAAGCGUUAAUCGGAAUUACUGGGCGUAAAGCGCGCGUAGGUGGUUCGUUAAGUUGGAUGUGAAAGCCCCGGGCUCAACCUGGGAACUGCAUCCAAAACUGGCGAGCUAGAGUAUGGCAGAGGGUGGUGGAAUUUCCUGUGUAGCGGUGAAAUGCGUAGAUAUAGGAAGGAACACCAGUGGCGAAGGCGACCACCUGGGCUAAUACUGACACUGAGGUCCGAAAGCGCCUGGAGCUUACCGCAUCAGAUGGCCGUGUAGCUC